UCUUUUUGGGAAAAUUAAAAAGUCAAAUCUGCCCACUGAUAUUAUUAAAGGGCCGCAGUAAUUUGACUGUGCAAAGGUAGCAUAAUCAAUAGUUUUUUAAUUGAAGACUCGAAUGAAUGAUUUAACAAGAAAUUAACUUUCUUUAUUUUUAAUUUAUAAAUUGAAAUUUAAGUGAAAAUGCUUAUGUUUUUAUAUUAGACGAGAAGACCCUAUAGAUCUUUAUUUUUAAUGGUAAUUUUAUUUUAUGUUAAUUUAAUUUAAAUUUAUUAUAAAAAUUUAAUUGGGGUGAUUUUGUAAUAAAUUAAACUUACAUAUUUAAUAUGAACAUGUUUAUUUGAAUUUUUUGAUCUAUUAUUAAUGAGAGUUAGAGUAAGUUACCUUAGGGAUAACAGCGUAAUUUAAUUUAAGAGUUCAUAUCUACAAUUAAGAUUGCGACCUCGAUGUUGAAUUAAGAAUAUUUAUAGGAGUAGUAAUUUAUAAAAUUGGUCUGUUCGACCAUUAAUUUC
rnacentral:rRNA from 1 species